AGUUACGCCUCUUUCAAGAACCAUGAGUCAUAUAGGCUCAGCAGAGUCCCAGAGGUGGAACAUGCACAGAGGUCCUAGUCUCUCCCUCAAUACUCCUGGAUCAGCUGCUUCAGUUUCCAGCCAUAGUUCUCUUCAUGAAUACAGAACACCUACAUCAUUAAGCACACCUACCAGAACCCAGACUCCUGGUCUUUUACAGUUCAUAAGUGGAUUAUCAGUUCAGUCACCUAGGCACUGAUUAAAUGUCUAUUUACACCCCUGGAUGCGUUCAUUAGUUGAGAUUUGUGCAUUAGGACUAUGAAAUUGUUGUGUGGUUUUGCCCUGAUAACAAAAAAGGCAUGUAUACAUUGUUUUACUUUUAAUGGAAGUUGAUAUUACUAUGUUGUUCUGUUAAGGAAUUAAACUGACAACUUAGUUGGA